AUUCCAGCUCCAAUAGCGUAUAUUAAAGUUGUUGCAGUUAAAACGCUCGUAGUCGGAUUUCGGGGCGAUCCCGCCGGUCUGCCGUUGGGUAUGCACUGGUGGGCGCGUCCUUCCUUCCGGAGACCGUUCCUACUCUUAGCUGAGCGGGGACGGGAGACGGAUCGUUUACUUUGAAAAAAUCAGAGUGUUUCAAGCAGGCAUUUGCUCUUGCAUGGAUUAGCAUGGGAUAAUGAAAUAGGACUUUGGUGCUAUUUUGUUGGUUUCGAACACCGAAGUAAUGAUUAACAGGGACAGUCAGGGGCACUCGUAUUCCGCCGAGAGAGGUGAAAUUCUUGGAUUAACGGAAGAUGAACUUCUGCGAAAGCAUCUGCCAAGGAUGUUUUCAUCG
rnacentral:rRNA from 1 species